rnacentral:rRNA from 1 species
UGGGGAAUAUUGCACAAUGGAGGCAACUCUGAUGCAGCAAUGCCGCGUGAGUGAAGAAGGCCCUUGGGUCGUAAAGCUCUUUUAUGGGGGAAGAUGAUGACGGUACCCCAAGAAUAAGCACCGGCUAACUAUGUGCCAGCAGCCGCGGUAAUACGUAGGGUGCGAGCGUUGUUCGGAAUUACUGGGCGUAAAGGGCGCGCAGGCGGAGGUGUAAGUCGGAGGUGAAAGCCCGGGGCUCAACCCCGGAGGGUCUUUCGAAACUGCUUCUCUAGAGAGGGUCAGGGGCCGGCAGAAUUCCUGGUGUAGAGGUGAAAUUCGUAGAUAUCAGGAGGAAUACCGGUGGCGAAAGCGGCCGGCUGGGGCCACUCUGACGCUGAGGCGCGAAAGCGUGGGGAGCAAACAGGAUUAGAUACCCUGGUAGUCCACGCCGUAAACGAUGAGCACUGGACGUUCGGAGGGUUCGACCCUUCUGGGUGUUUCAGCUAACGCAUUAAGUGCUCCGCCUG